UCAAAUCGCUCAAUAUGAGUAGAUAAUCGAUGAAAAUCCUAAAAUCAUCAAUUGUUAGCUUUCGAUCUUAAUUCCAAGCAUCCUAACAAGGACCACUUACCUCACAUUGUCUAAGAAUAUCCGCUACCCUGACAAAGUUAGAGUAAUCGUUUCAUAAAUGGUAUUUUGAUAAAUAAUCCUUACUUGUUAUAGACAGCAUCAUCCGAUGCGGCAGCGGUCAUUUUCUUAAAGUUAUAAGCAGACCUAGUGCUUACAAACGUUUCUAUUUACUGACAGAUUGAUUAAUAUAUUUACGGACUGGUUGUAAAGGCAGGCAGCUUUAAAGCAUUGCAAUUCAU